AAAUAAAACUGCAUUAGUUAUGCAUAAACAGAGUAAUGUUUGCUUAUUUAUUUUUUAAAAUAUUAGAAAAUUAUAAAUUAGGGGUUAUCAGGGCAACUUUAAUUUUAAUAUAACACAACAACAUUUACUUUUGGCCCACGGCCCUCAGUCAGGUUUGGCCCUUGUAAGGAAAAUGUUCGGGCACCAAUGAAUGUUCUAGUCUAUCUGAGGAGGUAACUUUUAGCAUAUGAUAAUGCAUGCUUGCACAAAGUCAGACCACAUAUUAUAAUGUUUGUCUUCAAUCAAUCAAUUUAAACAAAAGAGAUGGGGGCUUUAUAAUAUAAUAAGGGUCCAUAUAUCACAGUGAAAAAAGACAUACAUGUAUUUUUACUUUAACAUGAACUAAUGCUGAGUUACAGCAUAUCCUAAUAAUAAACUAUUGAAGAGUCAUCAUUAACUACGACAUGUUUUUCAUUGUUAGUUAAUGCAGUCAUUUACAAUAAAUUAAUUUGAGUUCAUGUUGUAGUUAAGUAAGUUCAGUAAGUUACAUGUCUUAACUCAGCAUUAGUUUAUAUUUACUAAUAUUUAAGUAAGAAUUCAUUUAGGUAUACGUUCAAUGUUUCCAAUGAUGAGCAGUUAAUCCACUAAACCCAGAGAUAAUUCCUGAGGCAUGUUUAAAGAGUUUUGUAUUUCAUCAAGAAGGUGCUGCUGAUUCACAAAGAUUUUAUAUUUAAGAAAAUCUGAGCAUCAUUCCAAAUAACUGUUAACAUGUUUGUCAACUAAACAUGUUUUGUAAACGUAAUAAACUUUAUAAAAAUAUUUUUUAUUUUUUAUUAAUAAUCAAGUAUAAAGAACAAUGCAUAGUGUGAAAACGCGGAUUAUAAAAAGUAUAUUAAAGAAAAGGACUACAUUUCCCAGAAUGCACCUGCACCUACUCAUCUGCCCCCACCCUUCAGGUGCGACUGCUCAACCUAUGGGCUUGACGGGAAAAUUCAAAAUCGCGAACCGUUACUGCCUGGACUACUCCGUCUCUUGUUUGUUUGUUUGCUCAUUAACAGUAAGAGGUCAUGUACACUGUGGUCAACUUUGUGGACGAUGAAGAGGUUUCUGGGUAAAGCUGAUAGAAAUAUAAUGAAGUAACAGUGAAAGCUAAAACAUCAGACUGAUCCAGACACUGAAGAAAUUGAUGUCACUGCAAUCUGGCCAAAAUGAUACAACUAUAUUGAAGUAACCUACUGUAAUGAAGCUGCAGAACAACACAGAGACUCUGAGGACAUCAACACAGAAAAUUAAGGCUCCAAAGAGAUGUCUGUCCAGAUGAGGGUGCAUCAACGUUACCUUUGCUGACAAGUAUAUGCUUUACAAUGUAAAACCUAACAGUUAACUUAACUCAAACCAUUUAAGGAAAUCGGUUGCCUUAACCCAUUAAGUUUAAAAAAAAAAACAUACAUUUGAGUACUGUGAACUUAAGUCUUGUGCAAUAAUGCACUUAUAUUUAGUUAGUGUGAACUUAAAUAUAAGUGCAUAACUGCAUGUGACUCAAUUUGUUUAAGUUCACAGUACUCAAAUCUAUGUGUUUUAAAACUUAAAUGGUUUAAUGCAACCGGUUUUCUUAAAUGGUUUGAGUUUAGUUAACUUUUAGGUUU